rnacentral:lncRNA from 1 species
UUUUAAUGGCACACAGCUCAGAUUUUCUUUUUUCCUAGGGGAAAUAAGGCUACUCUUGGAAGCUACCUCCACACCAUUUGUGCAGAGUAUUUCCUAGGGUGAGUUAAGGGCAAAAUCUCCACAACAUUAUUGCACCAGAAUUUUCAGGAUUAUGACCUGACCUUGAAAACCCUCCAGACGUCGGCAAUGUCUUCCCAGUGAAAUCAAGCCAACAUUAAUAAAAC